rnacentral:rRNA from 1 species
UACGGGGGGGGGGCAAGCGUUGUUCGGAAUUACUGGGCGUAAAGGGCUCGUAGGCGGCCAACUAAGUCGGAUGUGAAAUCCCCAGGCUUAACCUGGGAACUGCAUCCGAUACUGGAUGGCUUGAAUCCGGGAGAGGGAUGCAGAAUUCCAGGUGUAGCGGUGAAAUGCGUAGAUAUCUGGAGGAAUACCGGUGGCGAAGGCGGCAUCCUGGACCGGCAUUGACGCUGAUGAGCGAAAGCUAGGGGAGCAAACGGG